rnacentral:rRNA from 1 species
CACGUAGUUAGCCGGGGCUUUCUUCUCAGGUACCGUCACUCCGGUAGCAGUUACUCUACCGGACGUUCUUCCCUGGCAACAGAGCUUUACGAUCCGAAAACCUUCAUCACUCACGCGGCGUUGCUCCGUCAGGCUUUCGCCCAUUGCGGAAGAUUCCCUACUGCUGCCUUCCGUAGGAGUCUGGGCCGUGUCUCAGUCCCAGUGUGGCCGUUCACCCUCUCAGGUCGGCUACGCAUCGUCGCCUUGGUGAGCCGUUACCCCACCAACUAGCUAAUGCGCCGCAGGCCCAUCCCUUAAUGACAGAUUGCUCCGCCUUUCAUUCUCCCUUCAUGAGAAAAAAGAAAUUAUCCGGUAUUAGCUACCGUUUCCGGUAGUUAUCCCAGGCUAAGGGCAGGUUGCCUACGUGUUACUCACCCGUCCGCCGCUAAGCUUACCCCGAAGGAUAAGCUCCGCUCGACUUGCAUGUAUUAGGCACGCCGCCAGCGUUCGUCCUCGAGCCAGGAUCAAACCU